UACGUAGGGGGCAAGCGUUAUCCGGAAUCAUUGGGCGUAAAGCGCGUGUAGGCGGUUCGAUCAGUCCGUUCUGAAAGCCCAGGGCUCAACCCUGGGAGGCGGAUGGAUACUGUCGAACUAGAAUUCGGAAGAGGAGAUUGGAAUUCCUGGUGUAGCGGUGGAAUGCGCAGAUAUCAGGAGGAACACCAACAGCGAAGGCAGAUCUCUGGGACGAUAUUGACGCUGAGACGCGAAAGCGUGGGGAGCAAACAGG
rnacentral:rRNA from 1 species